rnacentral:misc_RNA from 1 species
GAUGAAGAACGUAGCGAAAUGCGAUACGUAGUGUGAAUUGCAGAAUCCAGUGAAUCAUCGAAUCUUUGAACGCACAUUGCGCCCGUCAGUAUUCUGGCGGGCAUGCCUGUUCGAGCGUCAUUACGCCCCUCAAGUCCCCUGUGGACUUGGUGUUGGGGAUCGGCGAGGCUGGUUUUCCAGCACAGCCGUCCCUUAAAUUAAUUGGCGGUCUCGCCGUGGCCCUCCUCUGCGAAGUAGUAAAACACUCGCAACAGGAGCCCGGCGCGGUCCACUGCCGUAAAACCCCCCAACUUUUUAUAGUUGACCUCGAAUCAGGUAGGACUACCCGCUGAACUUAAGCAUAUCAAUAAGCGGAGGA